rnacentral:lncRNA from 1 species
GCUUCUGUGAGCCUCAUCUCCAGGGAGAUUUCCUGGUCCACUCUGCUUCCUCCAUUGUCCUCCUCUUCCUACACUGCUUAUAUGCUAACUACACCUGAGGGUUAGCACAGGUUCCACCCCCACACCCACCAGGACAACUGGGUUUUAUAUCGGGAAUGUGUGGCAAUUAGAUUUUCCCAGAAGCAGGAGCAGCAGCAGUGUAAUGAAUUCACUUCCCCUGGCAACAUGUGCCUGCAGUCCUACAAUUCCAUGAAAACAGUGACAUAGGCACCGGGGAGAGCUUUCUGCGGGAGUUGUCAUGACAAAGCUACUUGAGUUUUACUUCUGCAGUUUUUUUAAUGUUUGUCAUUCUGAUUUAACCUAAGGCCCUUAUUAGUGCUGUACACCUGUGGAUUUUUCUCCCUUUAUUUAUGCAUCUCAGUGAUUUCCAUGAAAUGCCUUUUCCCCACUAGAACUCACAAAGCAAAGAACAAAUCCACCACUGUUCAU